UUAUGUGGGUUUGGCUUGUUUCGCGGGCUAGCCCAGGGUGGAACUUGUCUCUUGCGUCUUAGAAUCCGGAUCCUAGACUCUCCGAGAUCGUAACAGUCUUCUUGGCCUGGGUGGAAACUCCUUCCGCAAACAUCCCUCCCUCCUCCGCCCCCCCGGGCUUCUGCUCACACGCCUCCAGUGACAGGAAAGUCACCCCCUCCCGACACCGUCAGCCCUACCUGCAGAGAGGUCUUCUUUCUGCUGAGAUAGAAUUUGCCCCUCUGUCUCUCCAAUUCUGCCUCUCAGGGCCCCCUGGGCCCAGGCUCAUCUCUCAUCCACAGUCAGCCCCUCAAACGCUGACCUUUCUUUCAAGGUCUAACUCAAAGGCCUCUUCUGCUAUGAAGCCUUCCUGGAUUUCCUGGGACUCUUCCGGGCCUUCCCCGCCCCGUUCCUAGCUGCUUCCCCCAUCACUCACGCCUGCUGUGCCCAGGAGACAGAACGUGGGGGAACCACCACUCCAGUGUUACUCUUGGUAUCGCCCAUUCUGCAAGCCCAUUGCUGUGUUUAGGGUGACUGUUAGGUUUGGCUGUCUGCUGGGCCACCUCGGGACCCUGGGCCAUCCCUCCCUCUCCCUGGUCUCAGACAGCAGCUGCGCCCGGAGUUUGGAAGAAGGUGGGUGCAUGAGGAGAACUGGCUUGAAGCCCUCUACACAGAUGCGCUGUCUGCGUGGGACCUGGAACCAGAGGGAGAGAAAGAGAUAGAGAAAGAGAGAGCAUUUGCUGCAGAGCUAGCCUGGGGACAGCUUGGUGUUAGUGGGACCCACGACCCCUGCUGUGCCCCCUCCUACUGCCUGGGUCCCCUGCUGUCUGUCAUUUCCACCUCCCUGUGGGUAUGGCUCCUUUCAGCUAAUCCCAUGGGUUAAAAUAAGGUCAAGGUUACACGGGCAGGGGAGCAUGAAUUUCUCAUAUGGACCCAAGUGAGGUUUGGGAGGGAACAGAAUGCUGGCUGGGAGGUUGGGUUCGAGUGUAGGCACUUCUGGAGAGAAUCCGCAACAAGGUAGAAUGAAACACCCCUUCCCCCGGCCUGAUCUAUCCCCGCUCAUCGGAGAGACCCAGCUGCAGACAUUAAGGCCAGAACUUGCCCCUGAUUUUAGAUUUUCUAAUAGCCCCAUAAAAUAAAGAAAAAGGAAGUAAAAAUAGAUUUUAAUGAUACGCUGUAUCUCUAUAUUUUACAUUAUUUUUUUUUUUCCUAAGUCUUGAAACUGGGGUGUAGGACUCAAUUCCACUUCUGGGUGUGUAUCCGAAGGAAACAAAGAUGUUAAUUGUAAAGGACAUCUGUUGGGCGCCCGGGUGGCUCAGCUGGUUGAGCAUCUGACCCUUGGUCUCAGAUCAGGU